CCUACGGGGGGCUGCAGUGGGGAAUAUUGCACAAUGGGCGCAAGCCUGAUGCAGCCAUGCCGCGUGUAUGAAGAAGGCCUUCGGGUUGUAAAGUACUUUCAGUCGUGAGGAAGGUGUUAAGGUUAAUAACCUUAGCAAUUGACGUUAGCGACAGAAGAAGCACCGGCUAACUCCGUGCCAGCAGCCGCGGUAAUACGGAGGGUGCGAGCGUUAAUCGGAAUUACUGGGCGUAAAGGGCACGCAGGCGGUUAAUGAAUGUGGAUGGUUAAUCCCGGGGCUUAACCUGGGAAUGGCAUUCAACAGUUGUGCGCUAGAGUCUUUUAGAGGGGGGUAGAAUCCCAUGUCUAGCGGUGCAAUGCGGAGAGAUGUGGAGGAAUACCGGUGGAGAAGGCGGCCCCCUGGACAAAGACUGACGCUCAUGUGCGAAAGCGUGGGGAGCAAACAGGAUUAGAUACCCGAUUAGCC
rnacentral:rRNA from 1 species